GGGACCGAGGAGGGUGUCGGGCGCGCGGCGGGGUCGCCGGGGCUGGCGGAGGGGCGGCGGCGGGCGGCCCCACCCGGACCCCAGAGCAGAGGACGCUCGGGGCCGGGGCUCCGCUCGGUGGGAAGGGUGGCGGCUCACGUCGGGCCGUGCAUUCCAGGGUCCCAGGCACUCGGACGCCUGUUGUCCGAGUGCCCCUCGCCCCUCCCAUCGCGGCCGCGCACUGUGGGGUUCAACCCCGUCGGGGACCGAGGCUCGUUGCGGCCUGUGGGAGUAACGGGUGCCAGGAAAUGUGGGACCCCACCCACGACCCUGCGCGGGGAGCGCGCAGCCCCAGUUGCAGGAAAAGCAGCGGGCGCAGAGCAGGCUGGGAACGAACUUGUUGCGGGGGUGAUGGAGGUCGCGUCGUUGAACUUCCCGAACCCGCUGAGGAGCUGGAGGUGCCCCGCAGGCCUUCUCAGAAGUGCCCGGGUGCUCCAGGCAUCUUCCUCUCCCAGCACUGAACCCUCCCGCCUCCUACAGCAGAUGCUGCUGAACCAGGCUUGGCGCCUCCAGCACAUUUAAGAUUUUUUGUGUUUCCAUGAAUCCUUCAUGUCAUCUAACGUGUACCUUGCACACACCAAGAAAGCCCAGAAUUCAUCUUAAAGCUACAAGCAAGGUGCCUGGCUGCCCUCAACACUUCCCUAAAGGGGGAAGGAAGUGACUAUGGAAAUGGCGGAGCCAAGCAAAACCAGGGAGGGCAGACCUUCCGUCACUGGUCACCGUUGAGGCAAAAGCCCUGCGCGGCCUGAGCCCCGGCCCUGCCCAAACAGGGGUUGUGGAUUUUGUGGAAGAAUACCAUGGAAGUCAAGUGCCAUUCUCUUGACAUCAUAACAGAGGGUCACACUAUCAACAGGGAUGAUAUUAGUCUCAACCACUAGACAAGGCAGUGUUUAUCGAGCCUCACCACUAUAAAGUUCUUCCUUUACUCCUUUCCAUGUUCUAUUCUUUGGAACCCAUUCACUAAGUACAGCCCACUUUUGCCUGUUUGUUUUUUAAAUAGCAUUGUUUGUCUUACUGAGUUUUAAAAGUUUUUGUGUAUCCUAAAUAAAAGUUAUUUAUUACAUAUACAACCAGCAAAUAUUUUCUCCCAGUUUGGGGCUUGUCUUUUCAUUUUCUCAAUGGUGUCUCCUGAAGAGGAAACUUUUAAUUUUUUUUUUUUAAUAUUUAUUUUUGAAAGACAGAGAGACAGAGUACAAGCAGGGGAGAGGCAUCAUGAGAGAGGGAGACACUGUAUCCAAAGCACACUCCAGGCUGUCAGCACAGAGCCCGAUGCAGGGCUCGAACUCACAGACCAUGAGAUCAUGACCUGAGCUAAAGUCAGAUGCUUAACUGACUGAGCCACUCAGGCGCCCCAGCUGGUGACAUAUCUAAAAAACCUUUGACAAACGCAAAAUCGCAAAGAGUUUCUCCUAUGUCUUCUUCCAGAAUUCUUAGGGUUUUAGCUCUUACAUGUAGAUCCAUGAUCCAUUUUGAGUUAAUUUUUGUAUAACAUGUAAGGUAGGGGUCUAAGUCCAUAUUUUUGCAUAUGGAUAUCCAAUUGUUCAAGCAACAUUUGUUGGAAAGUCCCCACUGAAUUGCCUUGGCAUCCUGGUAAAAAAUCAGUCGACCUCAAAUAUGAACUAUAUAUCUGGAUUUUCCAUUUUGUUCCAUUGAUUUUAUGCUAGUACCACACUGUCUUCUUGAUUACUGUAGCUUUAUAGUAAGUUUUAAAAUCAGGUAAAUUCUUCAACUUAGUUUUUCUUUUCAAAGAUUUUCUUUUUUGGCUAUUGUAGGUCCUUUGCCAUUUCCAUACAAAUCUUAGGAUAAGCUUGUCAAUUUCUACAGAAAAGCACCCUGGGAUUUUAUCGGGAGUGCACUGAGUCUAUAGAUUAAUUUGGGGAGAAUGGCCAUCUUCUUUUUUUUUUUUUUAAUUUACAUCCAAAUUAGUUAGCAUAUAGUGCAACAGUGAUUUCAGUAGAUUCCUUAAUGCCCCUUACCUAUUUAGCCCAUCCCCCCUUCCACAACCCCUCCAGUAACCCUCAGUUUGUUCUCCAUAUUUAAGAGUCUCUUCUGUUUUGUCCCCCUCCCUGUUUCUAUAUUGUUUUUGUUUCCCUUCCCUUAUGUUCAUAUGUUUUGUCUCUUAAAGUCCUAUGAGUGAAGUCAUAUGGUAUUUGUCGUUCUCUAAUUUCGCUUAGCAUAAUACCCUCCAGUUCCAUCCACAUGGUUAUAAAUGGCAAGGUUUCAUUCUUUUUCAUUGCUGAAUGGUAUU